rnacentral:tRNA from 1 species
CGGAGGGGGUGGGAUUCGAACCCACGGUAACCCGCAAAGGCUACGGCGGUUUUCAAGACCGCUGCCUUCAACCACUCGACCACCCCUCC